rnacentral:rRNA from 1 species
GACGAACGCUGGCGGCGUGCUUAACACAUGCAAGUCGAGCGGUAAGGCCCUUUCGGGGGUACACGAGCGGCGAACGGGUGAGUAACACGUGGGUGACCUGCCCUCAGCUCUGGGAUAAGCCUGGGAAACCGGGUCUAAUACUGGAUAUGACUCCAUGACGCAUGUUGUGGGGUGGAAAGCCUUGUGCGGCUGAGGAUGGGCCCGCGGCCUAUCAGCUUGUUGGUGGGGGUGANGGCCUACCAAGGCGACGACGGGUAGCCGGCCUGAGAGGGCGACCGGCCACACUGGGACUGAGACACGGCCCAGACUCCUACGGGAGGCAGCAGUGGGGAAUCUUGCGCAAUGGGCGAAAGCCUGACGCAGCGACGCCGCGUGAGGGAUGACGGCCU